rnacentral:rRNA from 1 species
AUGAACGCUGACAGAAUGCUUCACACAUGCAAGUCUUUGGCGAAGCUGUGCUUGCACAGCCUAGCCAAGGCGGACGGGUGAGUAACGCGUAAGGAACUUGCCCUGCAGUCAGGGAUAACAGACGGAAACGACUGAUAAGACCUGGUAAAGUCAGGCGGACUCAUGUCCAGCCUGAUGAAAAGAGAUGCUGCAGGAGAGCCUUGCGUCCUAUUAGCUUGUUGGUGGGGUAACGGCCCACCAAGGCGAUGAUAGGUAGCCGGCCUGAGAGGGUGGACGGCCACAAGGGGACUGAGAUACGGCCCUUACUCCUACGGGAGGCAGCAGUGGGGAAUAUUGGACAAUGGGGGCAACCCUGAUCCAGCAAUUCUGUGUGCACGAUGAAGGUUUUCGGAUUGUAAAGUGCUUUCAGCAGGGAAGAAAAAAUGACGGUACCUGCAGAAGAAGCGACGGCUAAAUACGUG